rnacentral:tRNA from 1 species
AAUAAAGUGGCUGAGUUUUAAGCGAUAAAUUGUAAAUUUAUUUACGAAAUUAAUUUCCUUUAUUA